rnacentral:rRNA from 1 species
UACAGAGGUCUCGAGCGUUAGGCGGAAUCACUGGGCUUAAAGCGCGUGUAGGCGGAUCGUUAAGUGCCUUGUGAAAUCCCACGGCUUAACCGUGGAACUGCUUGGCAUACUGGCGAAUCUUGAGCCAUCUAGGGGCCUGCGGAACAAACGGUGGAGCGGUGAAAUGCGUAGAUAUCGGGAGGAACACCAGUGGCGAAGGCGACUACCUGGCCUGUUCUUGACGCUGAGGCGCGAAAGCCUAGGGGAGCAAACGGGA